AGGAAACAUGAGAAAAUCCUGCAAGUUCUUGAUCGAAAUGGCAAAAUCGAAAAUCCCAUAAGAAACGCAUACAGUUGUCAGUUGUCCUACCUCGUAAUUUAGGAUAAAUGGAGUGGCUUUUGCAAUGGUCUUGGCAGAAAAAUUAGUAAAUUACCCCGUCUCCGUCUUGUUUGCAAAGUUUUCAAAAGGGAAAAAUUUCCCGCCCCUUCCACUCUCAUUUGCCUCACCAGCGUAACAGCGUUGUUGUUUAUUCGAUCUUUCCUAAUCUCUUCGGGUCUCAGAUUCCGAACAUGGCCUCUCUCUCUCUCUCCCUCUCUCUGCAACUCCCACGGAAGAUUUCAUUCGAGCUCGUUGGCUUUUUCCUCCGCAAGGCACCUGUUUCAGUUCUUCCUUCGUUUAAAGGACCAAACACGGAGCUCCUGAUUAACAAGCCGUUCUUAUUAAAUAAGCACACUGUCAAACGCUCAGAUUGCCAUCCACAUAUCACAGCAUCGAUUCAUUCGUGCAAACUGCAACCGCACUAGCUUGGCUUGGCGAUCUACUUAGUCCAACACCUGAACUAUCUACCAAGAGGGAGCACCAGAUCGUGCAUCAUCAAUAAUAUCACUAUUCUGAACAAAAAUAGAACUAUGAUUGAUCGAUACACGACUACUUGCAUUGCAUUGUUAUGGAGCUUGCUUAUAUUUUUGGUUACCUUGAUUAUCACUCAAAGAUUUCUUUCCUUGUUCCUUUGCCACAUUUUAUGAACUUGAUAAUUUCCUUCCAACAAUCAUUGG